rnacentral:rRNA from 1 species
GUGAGGAAUAUUGGUCAAUGGACGAGAGUCUGAACCAGCCAAGUAGCGUGCAGGAUGACGGCCCUAUGGGUUGUAAACUGCUUUUGUUUGGGAAUAAUCGACAUUACGUGUAAUGUUUUGCAUGUACCAUUCGAAUAAGGACCGGCUAAUUCCGUGCCAGCAGCCGCGGUAAUACGGAAGGUCCAGGCGUUAUCCGGAUUUAUUGGGUUUAAAGGGAGUGUAGGCGGUUGGUUAAGCGUGUUGUGAAAUGUAGAUGCUCAACAUCUGACUUGCAGCGCGAACUGGCUGACUUGAGUACACACAACGUAGGCGGAAUUCAUGGUGUAGCGGUGAAAUGCUUAGAUAUCAUGAAGAACUCCGAUUGCGAAGGCAGCUUACGGGAGUGUUACUGACGCUUAAGCUCGAAGGUGCGGGUAUCGAACAGGAUUAGAAACCCCAGUAGUCC